rnacentral:rRNA from 1 species
GAUGAACGCUGGCGGCGUGCCUAAUACAUGCAGGUCGAGCGAACGGACGAGAAGCUUGCUUCUCUGAUGUUAGCGGCGGACGGGUGAGUAACACGUGGAUAACCUACCUAUAAGACUGGGAUAACUUCGGGAAACCGGAGCUAAUACCGGAUAAUAUUUUGAACCGCAUGGUUCAAAAGUGAAAGACGGUCUUGCUGUCACUUAUAGAUGGAUCCGCGCUGCAUUAGCUAGUUGGCAAGGUAACGGCUUACCAAGGCAACGAUGCAUAGCCGACCUGAGAGGGUGAUCGGCCACACUGGAACUGAGACACGGUCCAGACUCCUACGGGAGGCAGCAGUAGGGAAUCUUCCGCAAUGGGCGAAAGCCUGACGGAGCAACGCCGCGUGAGUGAUGAAGGUCUUCGGAUCGUAAAACUCUGUUAUUAGGGAAGAACAUAUGUGUAAGUAACUGUGCACAUCUUGACGGUACCUAAUCAGAAAGCCACGGCUAACUACGUG